rnacentral:rRNA from 1 species
ACGAACGCUGGCGGCGUGCCUAAUACAUGCAAGUCGAACGCUUCUUUUUCCAUCGGAGCUUGCUCCACCGGAAAAAGAGGAGUGGCGAACGGGUGAGUAACACGUGGGUAACCUGCCCAUCAGAAGGGGAUAACACUUGGAAACAGGUGCUAAUACCGUAUAACAAUCGAAACCGCAUGGUUUUGAUUUGAAAGGCGCUUUCGGGUGUCGCUGAUGGAUGGACCCGCGGUGCAUUAGCUAGUUGGUGAGGUAACGGCUCACCAAGGCGACGAUGCAUAGCCGACCUGAGAGGGUGAUCGGCCACAUUGGGACUGAGACACGGCCCAAACUCCUACGGGAGGCAGCAGUAGGGAAUCUUCGGCAAUGGACGAAAGUCUGACCGAGCAACGCCGCGUGAGUGAAGAAGGUUUUCGGAUCGUAAAACUCUGUUGUUAGAGAAGAACAAGGAUGAGAGUAACUGUUCAUCCCUUGACGGUAUCUAACCAGAAAGCCACGGCUAACUACGUGCCAGCAGCCGCGGUAAUACGUAGGUGGCAAGCGUUGUCCGGAUUUAUUGGGCGUAAAGCGAGCGCAGGCGGUUUCUUAAGUCUGAUGUGAAAGCCCCCGGCUCAACCGGGGAGGGUCAUUGGAAACUGGGAGACUUGAGUGCAGAAGAGGAGAGUGGAAUUCCAUGUGUAGCGGUGAAAUGCGUAGAUAUAUGGAGGAACACCAGUGGCGAAGGCGGCUCUCUGGUCUGUAACUGACGCUGAGGCUCGAAAGCGUGGGGAGCAAACAGGAUUAGAUACCCUGGUAGUCCACGCCGUAAACGAUGAGUGCUAAGUGUUGGAGGGUUUCCGCCCUUCAGUGCUGCAGCUAACGCAUUAAGCACUCCGCCUGGGGAGUACGACCGCAAGGUUGAAACUCAAAGGAAUUGACGGGGGCCCGCACAAGCGGUGGAGUAUGUGGUUUAAUUCGAAGCAACGCGAAGAACCUUACCAGGUCUUGACAUCCUUUGACCACUCUAGAGAUAGAGCUUCCCCUUCGGGGGCAAAGUGACAGGUGGUGCAUGGUUGUCGUCAGCUCGUGUCGUGAGAUGUUGGGUUAAGUCCCGCAACGAGCGCAACCCUUAUUGUUAGUUGCCAUCAUUUAGUUGGGCACUCUAGCAAGACUGCCGGUGACAAACCGGAGGAAGGUGGGGAUGACGUCAAAUCAUCAUGCCCCUUAUGACCUGGGCUACACACGUGCUACAAUGGGAAGUACAACGAGUCGCAAAGUCGCGAGGCUAAGCUAAUCUCUUAAAGCUUCUCUCAGUUCGGAUUGUAGGCUGCAACUCGCCUACAUGAAGCCGGAAUCGCUAGUAAUCGCGGAUCAGCACGCCGCGGUGAAUACGUUCCCGGGCCUUGUACACACCGCCCGUCACACCACGAGAGUUUGUAACACCCGAAGUCGGUGAGGUAACCUUUUGGAGCCAGCCGCCUAAGGUGGGAUAGAUGAUUGGGGUG